CGAGCCACUUGGCUUUGUGGUAAAGCUUUAGCUUUGUAAGCGAUAAAUCGGGUUCAAAUCCCGGCUCGA
rnacentral:tRNA from 1 species